AUACUUAAGUCUUCUUAAGUCUUUAGAAAUAAAACUUUGAAAGCACUAGGGACACAUAUAGAAAUAAUCUAGUGGAAUACAAUAUCUGACAUCUGCAAAAGCCAGUACUGAAUUGAUUUUUCUAUUGAUUUUUCUAUUGUUUUCUGUAGAAAAGAAUUAAGUAUUACCUUGCACCAAAGAAAAGGAUUAAAAUGAAUUUAAUGGACAAAAUUAAACUAGGGAGAAGGAAGAUAAAAGUCAGAAAUUUAAAAUACUUGGUUUAACUCUAAGUUUGAGAUCCAAAACCAAGGAGCUAGAAUAGGAUGCGGCAUUAUGAGUGUGAAUAAGAAUUGACCAUGAAUUAGAGAGUAAUAAUAACUCUCUGUUCUAUCAAACUCUAAAGGACUUCAUGUGGAAAUAGAUAAUGAUGGCCCAGAAACAACCAGAGCACUCUGUGUUGCAGUAUAGGUUAUGAUUUCCUUCAGACCACAAUCUUCAUCAGUCUGACACACGGUGUCUUUUCUACUUCAGAAAAAUUAUAUAAACACACUGCUCAUUUGGAUAUCAUACCAGCCCCUUUCAUUUUACAGACAAGGAAAUGGAAGGCAAGCAGUGAGUGAAGUGCAGAAGGGAUAGAAAAAUAAAAAAAACUUUCUUGGGUUCUCAAAGACUUGGUCUUGGAUCCUGAUUAUGUUUUUCUGUCUCCAAAUUCAGUGUUCUUUUUACCAUGCAAUGAAGUAUAGAAAGACA
ensembl:lncRNA